AGUGAACGCUGGCGGUAGGCCUAACACAUGCAAGUCGAACGGCAGCACAGUAAGAGCUUGCUCUUACGGGUGGCGAGUGGCGGACGGGUGAGUAAUACAUCGGAAUCUACUUUUUCGUGGGGGAUAACGUAGGGAAACUUACGCUAAUACCGCAUACGACCUACGGGUUAAAGCAGGUGAUCUUCGGACCUUGCGCGAUUGAAUGAGCCGAUGUCGGAUUAGCUAGUUGGCGGGGUAAAGGCCCACCAAGGCGACGAUCCGUAGCUGGUCUGAGAGGAUGAUCAGCAACACUGGAACUGAGACACGGUCCAGACUCCUACGGGAGGCAGCAGUGGGGAAUAUUGGACAAUGGGCGCAAGCCUGAUCCAGCCAUACCGCGUGGGUGAAGAAGGCCUUCGGGUUGUAAAGCCCUUUUGUUGGGAAAGAAAAGCAGCAGGUUAAUACCCCGCUGUUCUGACGGUACCCAAAGAAUAAGCACCGGCUAACUUCGUG
rnacentral:rRNA from 1 species